AGAGUUUGAUCAUGGCUCAGGACGAACGCUGGCGGCGUGCCUAACACAUGCAAGUCGAACGGGGCUCUUUGGAUCGAGACUUCGGUCAAGUGAAUCUGAGCUUAGUGGCGGACGGGUGAGUAACGCGUGAGCAACCUGCCUUUCAGAGGGGGACAACAGUUGGAAACGACUGCUAAUACCGCAUAACGUGUCGAGGAGGCAUCUCCUUGACACCAAAGAUUUAUCGCUGAAAGAUGGGCUCGCGUCUGAUUAGCUAGUUGGUGGGGUAACGGCCUACCAAGGCGACGAUCAGUAGCCGG
rnacentral:rRNA from 1 species